UUAUCUCAGACAUGUGGUAGAAGAGUAGCAAGGAGACUUGAGACAAAGCAAAUUACCUAGGCUAACUUGUAUGUGUUAAAUGGUAACGACAUUUUCUUCUCCACUGUUUCUCCCUGCCUCGGAUGUGCUUAACUUGUAUCCAUACCAUGCAGCUCUUCAGCACUAAGCCUGUCCAGUCAGCAAGACACCUUAGUACUGUUGGUGUUGUGCCUACUGCAGCACGUGCUGAGCUCUACUUCACCCAACCAAUCCAUACAGACACUGCUGAGAAACAGGAACAAAACGUCAGGCAUCUUCAGUAAAGAAGUCCAGGUCCAAACAGGAUUGGGAAAAGUUAAGAAACCCAGCUAAGCUGCAUUUUAUAAUAAAACAGCACAAAAUCCAAUUGUGAAGAGGAGGUGGAAGAUGAUAUCUGCAAGAGAAAUGAAGACUAAAUAAUAGAACAGCUUCAAGGGCAGAGCUUACUGCAGAGCUGCAGGAUAGCUGAGGGGACUUCUACAGGAAGGAGGACUAGGAGGUUUUAUUUGAGCUGAGGUGAGCUUUGAGCCUCAGCACUGAGGUAUUUGGUAAAAUGGGAAGUGUUCUACUUUCUCCUUUUUUUUUCCUCCUGCUUUUGUUUAGCUGUAGCUAAUUGUCAAACAGGAGUGUCAUCUGGCAUAUUGACAAAAAACAAGUUUUAAAUGGCUGUGUUAUUUCCCAACACGUUUAAACAGAUUGCUCAACAUGGCAUGCAGUGCCUGUGGCAUGACAGGGAUCAGGGUGCACAGCCCACCACUCAGGUUAAUGCCUCGCGGUGGCUCCAUCUAAUGCAAGCUCUGCUGCUGGCUCCCCACCUGAUGUGCCCCUGGGAGCUUCUCGACAUCCUGUCCAAAUUUAGCAAAUUUUAUCUUAGAGGGAG